UUUCUGAAAACAUCAAAACAAAAUUUUACGUUACAAAAAUUACUUAAAAUAACAAAAUUUUCGAAUUUAUUAUAAAAAAAUUUUCCACUAAAUUAAGCAAUGGCAUGUUCUCUAACAUCUUUGGCUCCCCAACGUUCAAAAAGUUGUCCAGCUCGCCUAAGUUGCCGAGACUUGAAAUGGGAGCGAAUGGGAUACCAAGUGGCAACCACAGCCAACGGAAUAGCAGAUACAAAAUGCAUUCCUCAACAAGGGCAGCAAUAUGUUGAAGAUAUGUAUCCAACGCAAGGUUAUUGCAAUUAUGCUGCUACGAAGGAACAUUUGUGGCCCAAUGCAAAUUUCUGGUGUGAAUGUCGUCCUCCAUUUGCUAAGCGGGGAUGUGUUGAAUGUCGAAAAGCGGCGCAGCAACAAAGCAAGGGAAUAAUGAACAAUCCAGAGAAUUGGUAUAAGGAACAUCAUCAUCCAUAUGCUGGAGAAGAUUCUCCAGAUGAUUUUAUGUUUAUACAUGAUUUACAAGGUGAAUCUGGGAAUUCAGAUAAUGACAGCUAUUGCAGUGCCCAUGAAGAUUGGGUAGAAGAAGCUGCGGAAGAAUUCGAAGAUAAUUCGUUUAUACAUGCCAGUGAAGAACUUCUUUACAGGGGUUUAACGAAGCCAGGUCUAUAUGGGGGAGAGAACCUAAUCUGCAGGGAAUGUAAUUUGUGCCUAGGUCAUAUUAGGGAAUCUUAUACACCGGCAUCUUUUUGUUACAAAAAAUCAAGCAGUUGCAAGGAUUUCUGCUACAAUCAAAGGCCACUAGGUAGCCAAAAGAAUUUAAGGAGUAAGAAAACAGAAUCUCAAUCAGAAAGACCUUAUAUGGCUUUAUGCACUUUGUUGGGAGGAACUUUUGAUGAUGAUAGGCAUUUCAAGAGAAGUGGAAAUGAUAUUAAAGGAAUGCCAUGGGUUUCAAGUAAAGAAACUCGUACUUGUGGUCCUACUACUGAAAAUGAACUCCCUUCAAACAUUCCUCAGAAGAAUGUCAGACAUUAUUGCUGUAGCUGUAGAGGCCUUGAAGAACCAAGAGUCAUGGCUUCAACAGCAAUUGAGGAGAAUGUAAAACAUAUUUGCAGUUGCUGCAGAUCGUUUGAGGAACCAAUACUCAUGACUUCAACUGGUGAAGAAAUCUCUGAUAUAUGCAUGACUAAUACUUCAAACAACUAUUCUUCAAAGAAUAAUGGCGAAUAUCAAACAGAAGUCGAUGCUUCCAACGAGAGAAUGUCUCAAAGAUCCUUUAAAAGAAAAUAUUCCCCUUCAAGUGGAAAAUCAAUGUCUUGUUAUAACUCUCCCCAUGGAAAAAUGGUUGAAAAAGAACAAGUCGUGAAUUCAAUUAAACUAGGGAGUCAUGCUUGCUAUCCUCCAUGUCCAACAGAGCCCGUAAGUUUCAAAGAUGUGAGGAACUUUGAAGGAAGAACUGAUAUGAAAGACUUGUCAAGCAAUGUCCAGAGUUUCUGUAACAGACACUGCCCUGCAUAUGAGCAGCAUUGCCAUUGUCAACAAAAAAUUUGUAGAGAAAACUUACAAUACAAGCCUUUCCAACGAUCAGACUUGAUAUUAAAAACCCGUUGCAGCUAUUCAAGUAAACACCAAUUGGUUUGUGAUUCGGAUGUUUACUAUCAUCAAUGUCAACAGGAUUACAGCAACACCCCAUCUGAGAUGAAGACAGAUUUAAAACAUCUAAGCAAUAAAUCCCAAAAUAAUUGCCAUUGUCCCAGAGACAGCCAAUGUUUUGUUUCUUCCGCUAAUGACCCCAAGGAAUCCAAGAAUACUCUAAAGGAGGAAUAUCAGCACUAUAAGCUACUCAAAAGAACUGAGUCAAAGAAUGAUUAUGGAAAUCCAGACAAACAUACAGACCAUUUUCCGCGCAACAAAAUUGGUCAUUCCAGGCAUGAAAACCAAUAUCAAUCUCUAGUCUUCAAGGCAGAAACAUCCCAUUUUCCAUCUAGUCAACAAAAUUUUAAAAAAUUUCAUGAAAAACGUUAUGACGAAAAAUCAGUUAGCCAUACACAGAGAAAGAAUCCUCCCAAAAUUUUUAAUUUUUGCCAUAAUAGAAAAUUAUGUCCAGGAACAGAAAAUAAAUCCGAUUUAAAAAAAACAUUCUCCCCAAGAGAACAGCACGCCAAUAACGUAAGGAAUCCUUCAAGACAGCCUCUGAAUAGACAUAAAACCAAACUCUCCUCAGCUGUGAGUAAGGAUUCUAAAAAAAGUCUCUCAAUGGCCUUCCCCUCUGAUUCUGCUAACAUAAAAAAUCACAACUCAGCUACUAAUAGCCUGAAUCCCAUAUCACAUUCAUAUCAAUCCCCAGAACCCCCGGCAUUUUCCCGCGAUAUUUUAACCAAAGCUUCUGGUUUCCUUCAAAACUCUUGGGAAAAGUUUCUAAAAUGUUGCUCUGAAAUGUUUUAUAUGCAUGACAACUAUACCAAAGAAUGUGAUGUGAAGUUAAGAACUCUUCCCCAAUCAUUGGAAAUUCAAGGCGCCACUGUUAAAUCUUCCAGCACAGAUGAUCAUGAUCCUCACACUACUCAAUACAGCAUUUGUUGCAUAUGCAGCGGUGUUAUUAGCAAACGAAAUUUUACUCCCCCAUCCCAGGCCUCUUGUGCUACUCUGAAAGAUUUCUAUUCCAGUGAAAAGGUGAUCAAUACUUGCAAUUUUCCCUCUCCCCAGCCAGAGUGUGAGAAUCGAAAAUCUUGUUCCCAGUUUGUGGAUCAAUCCCUGUUAUUAUGUGAUACUAGGAAGUUUGAUGGUCCUUUGGUAUCACCGCUGUAUUGUAAAUAUGUUGAAAUUAAGCCCCAGAUAUAUUGCGGCUCAAAUGAGAGAUAUUGUCAAGAGACGAAGUUAUGCGAUGCUCUUACAACAUCUACGACUAGUCAAAAUCAAAAGGAUCAACAAAAUUUUAGCAGCAAUGGAGAGGAAACCCUUGUAAGAGAAGAACAGGAAGAAGGGCUCACCCCUAAAAUUGAUGAAGCUGGCCAAAACAAGUUUGUAAGAGGAAUUUCUUCAGCUUCGAAUUAUUUUGUUAUCGAACAUCCGGAAACGAAUACAAAAGUUCAACCAUUUGAAGGAUUAGCAAGCAAAUGCAUUCAGGUUAUGGUGGCCCUCGGCCAUUCUGCAGUCCUGCUGAAUGUGACAAAUUUAAUAGUUGCUAUGGUGAGGUGAACAGACAGCCCUCGCAAUGUUGCUUUCAUGCCUCCAAUAAGAAUUCAUGUGAUCCUUGCGCUUGUCCACAAAUCUAUUGCAAUAAUCAGCAACGUUCAUUCAUGACAUUUUCCAAGAUGCCAUUAUCAGCGAUUCCUAGUUAUGCUACUAGUGUCAAGACUGAUAUCCCAAAGAAAGUUAGCAAAUCUUCAAAAAAGAAAGAACGAACCAAAAUUGAGGUGGAAAAGGGAGGGUUUAUAAGCAAAAGUUGUUCCUCGGAUCCUAUAGCUCCCAAGAAAAGUAUAUCUAGAGAAGAAGUGAAGGAAUCGCAAACCUUAUUAAACAAGAAUGAAUGUGGAGCCUUUAAGCAGCCCAUUGAAUCUGGUGCUGAUAGAAUCUUCUAUGAGAAUCGUAUUCCUUCUAAAGACAACUUGAAGAAUAUCAACAAUAUCUUCAAGGGUCAAAAAAGUUGCAGUGAACAUUACAUUUCUUCCAAAGAGAAGAUAUUCGAUGCCAUUCUAGAUGAUAAUGUGGUCUUUCAAUGUCAGCGGAAAAAUGACAAAUUCCAACAAAGGUCCGAAGCUUCGCACACCAUAAAAUCCAAAAGAUUUUCGCCUACUAAUAGUCGGUGUCGAAUUCCCAAAUCUGAAUAUCAAUAUGAAGAUAUAGCAACCAAUUCGGGAAUAACAAGUAGACCAAAUCACCAAAAAAGCCAAAUCAAUUCUGCAGCAACAACUCGUAUAUCAAACUAUCCCAAAUUCUCCAGUCAAUCAUGUUCCCAUCUGAAAAGUAAUCCCUGUUUGGCUGUGAUCAAUGAAGAAUGUGAGAAUGAAGAAUGCCAAUGUAAAGCUGGCGGUGAAACUACGAGGAGAUCGCCUUCAACACCUAACAGCCCAAUGAAUCCAGAUAAUUGCAACCUUUUCGAUGGGGAGAGUCAUAGAAAAUUGUCCAAAUCCUUUGAGAGAACUUGUAUUGAAUUCUUCAAUAUUAUCUCCGAUAAUAUUUUGGAAUCACUACAAAAUUCAAUAAAGGAAAUUUCCUAUGGCUGCUCUCAUCAAAUUUUAAAGAGCAUCAAUGAUAUGCAAGAGAAGUUGAAGCAGAAUGAAAAUAUGAUGUCGCAGCUGUAUUGCGAUAUUAUGGAAAGACAGAUGAUGGUCGAAAUUCUCCAUUUUCAUGGGCAAUUAUUAGCCUAUCUGGCAUUUGAAGUUCUGUUGUACAUUUCUAUAAUUGUUGAGUGUGGUGCUUAAACUAACUUGCAAAUGCAAAAUUUGCCCAUGAACAUUCCAUUGAGGAAUAGGGGCAAUAUUUUCACAUAUCAAUGAGUGCAGUGCUAUUCAAGUUGAGGGCAGACGAGUGCCCCAGGAGGGGUUCGUCUGCGCCGGCGGACAAGUCAUCGGUCUUGUCUACAUGCCAUUUGUCGAGCUACUGAACACAGUAGAUGGGAUGUCCAGGGCGGGACUCCGUAGAUGGUUGCCGGACUGCGAAGGCGCUAUGGCCGGUCAUCGACCUGAGGAUGACGAGAGAGUUGCUUGCGUUCGAUAAGUGGUCGAAAUUGCAGAACAAAAUAAAAGGAAUUUAGGUCAAUUUUGCACAAUUUUAGAAUGUUUAAAGGAAUCGCAACCCAAAAGUUAUCUUCGUCAAGCUACUAACACUCCAAUAUGCCAUAAUAAGGCGUGUCAGUGCGAUAUGUAUGCCAGCGAAAGAGUUUCGCCCAAAAUUCGUAAAUCUUCAGGCUUUGACUUGGACGAAUUUGAAAGAAUUGUUAAGAAUGGACCACAGUGUUCUAAAACGGGU